rfam:Ixodes scapularis strain Wikel colony gcontig_1108378958058, whole genome shotgun sequence.
CCCUGCUUAGUACAGUUGGUAGAGCGCUUUACUGAAAAUGGAGAGGUUCCGGGUUCGAUACCCGGACCAGGCG